CAAUAGCGUAUAUUAAUGUUGUUGCAGUUAAAAAGCUCGUAGUUGGAUUCCUGACCUGGGGUAGCCGGUCCGCCUUGCAAAAGGUGCGCACUGAGCGGCCUCGGUCAUCCUUGAGGAGAGCGGUCCUGGCAUUCAGUUGUCGGGGUCGGGAUUCUCGACGUUUACUGUGAAAAAAUCAGAGUGUUCAACGCAGGCUUACGCCUUGAAUACAUUAGCAUGGAAUAAUGAGAUAGGACCUUGGCGGUCUAUUUUGUUGGUUUGCACGCCGAGGUAAUGAUUAAAAGGGACGGUUGGGGUUCUUCGUAUUCAAUUGUCAGAGGUGAAAUUCUUGGAUUUAUGGAAGACGAACUGCUGCGAAAGCGUCGAACAAGGACGUUCUCAUUAA
rnacentral:rRNA from 1 species